AAAAAAAAAUGAAAAACAAACUGAAAACAAA
rnacentral:sRNA from 1 species